CAAAUGGGUGGAGUGUUAGGAUAUAGAUAUUCAGGCCUGUCUGUAAAGGCCUAGAGCCUAAGAAUGUAGGUGUAUCCUUAUCACUUGGCUAGCUUUAGAGGGAUAAAAGAAAGAAUCACAAUCACUGUCUGCCGGUGCAAGGGCCUCGUCUCACUGCGACAGUCUGAGGCCCUGUGCUUAGGCUAAGGCCUUUGGCUAAACAACAGAGGCAGCCAUAAACUGGGAGCGACUGGUCACCUCCUCGCAUUCCAAACUAGUCACAUUGAAAUCAGGUGCUAUUGGGCCGUUAGGAUACAAUCCUGUCUUGAUAACGCCG